GAUGAACGCUGGCGGCGUGCCUAACACAUGCAAGUCGAACGGAGAUUACGGACGGAAGUUUUCGGAUGGAAGACUGUAAUUCUUAGUGGCGGACGGGUGAGUAACGCGUGGGCAACCUGCCCUAUCCAGGGGGAUAGCAGCUGGAAACGGCUGGUAAGACCGCAUAAGUCGGCGAGACCGCAUGGUUUUGCCGGGAAAUGAGCAAUCCGGUAUAGGAUGGGCCCGCGUCCGAUUAGCCAGGUGGCAGGGUAAAAGCGUACCAAAGCAACGAUCGGUAGCCGGACUGAGAGCUCGGACAGCCGGAUUGGGACUGGGACAAGGCCCAAACGCCUACGAGAAGCAGCAGUGGGGGAUAUUGGAGAAGAGGGGAACUCUGAUGAAGCGACGCCGCGGGAGUGAAGAAGUAUUUCGGUAUGUAAAGCUCUAUCAGCAGAGAAGAUGAUGACGGUACCUGACAAAGAAGCCCCGGCUAACUACGUG
rnacentral:rRNA from 1 species